rnacentral:misc_RNA from 1 species
AGCAACAGGCUCAGUUGCGUGAUGGUGAGCGUUCGUGACUGUCUGCUUUCUGCUAAUAUCAUUGUGAUUUUGAUACCUCAUACAUUGUGGAAUAUUUGGCUCUUGGAUUUUUCUUUCUUGAAAAGGUUGUUGCUAUAAUGCUAGGGGCAUUAAAUUUCUUUGAAAUAUUUGCAAAUUUUGCUUUUAUUUUGAUUUUCUACAGCUCUGAAUGAGGCUCUGAAGAAA